AUUGAACGCUGGCGGCAGGCCCAACACAUGCAAGUCGAACGGUAGCACAGAGAGCUUGCUCUCGGGUGACGAGUGGCGGACGGGUGAGUAACGUCUGGGAAACUGCCCGAUGGAGGGGGAUAACUACUGGAAACGGUAGCUAAUACCGCAUAACGUCGCAAGACCAAAGUGGGGGACCUUCGGGCCUCACACCAUCGGAUGUGCCCAGAUGGGAUUAGCUAGUAGGUGGGGUAAUGGCUCACCUAGGCGACGAUCCCUAGCUGGUCUGAGAGGAUGACCAGCCACACUGGAACUGAGACACGGCCCAGACUCCUACGGGAGGCAGCAGUGGGGAAUAUUGCACAAUGGGCGCAAGCCUGAUGCAGCCAUGCCGCGUGUAUGAAGAAGGCCUUCGGGUUGUAAAGUACUUUCAGCGGGGAGGAAGGCGGUGAAGUUAAUAACUUCACCGAUUGACGUUACCCGCAGAAGAAGCACCGGCUAACUCCGUGCCAGCAGCCGCCGCCG
rnacentral:rRNA from 1 species